rnacentral:rRNA from 1 species
UGCGUAGACGGCCUGACAAGUCAGAAGUGAAAGGCUACGGCUCAACCGUGGUAAGCUUUUGAAACUGUCAGGCUUGAGUGCAGGAGAGGAGAGCGGAAUUCCUGGUGUAGCGGUGAAAUGCGUAGAUAUCAGGAAGAACACCAGUAGCGAAGGCGGCUCUCUGGACUGAAACUGACGCUGAGGCACGAAAGCGUGGGGAGCGAACA